UACAGAGGUCCCGAGCGUUGUUCGGAUUCACUGGGCGUAAAGGGCGCGUAGGCGGCAAUUCAAGUCACUUGUGAAAUCUCCGAGCUUAACUCGGAACGGUCAAGUGAUACUGCUUUGCUAGAGUGCAGAAGGGGCAACCGGAAUUCUUGGUGUAGCGGUGAAAUGCGUAGAUAUCAAGAGGAACACCGGAGGUGAAGACGGGUUGCUGGGCUGACACUGACGCUGAGGCGCGAAAGCUAGGGUAGCAAACGGG
rnacentral:rRNA from 1 species